UAAUGAAAUGCAUGGAUUGUAAAGAAAGUACAGACUGCACUUUAAUAAUUCUGAGGAAAAAUAAUGUUCAGAUUGGGUAAAAUUGAUGGAUAGGAUUCUGUAUCACAAUAAGAAAAUUGGGUCAAGCUGGCUGCCCGGAUUUGAAGAUAGGUCUUCUGUUCCCUACACUGAAGCUUUAAUUUAUGAAGUGUUCAACAUGCAUCUUAGAUGCCUUUCAUGAUUCCUCAUUGUACAACUGAAGAUAUUGUAUUGAGUGGAUAUUUUAUUGCCAAAGAUUCCUGUGUUUUCAUCCAUCAAUAUCAAAUCAACUAUG